AUUGAACGCUGGCGGCAGGCCUAACACAUGCAAGUCGAGCGAGCGGCGGACGGGUGAGUAAUGUAUGGGGACUGCCCGAUAGCGGGGGAUAACUACUGGAAACGGUAGCUAAUACCGCAUACUAUCGGAUAACCCAUAUGGGAUUGGCUAGUAGGUGAGGUAAUGGCUCCCCUGGGCGACGAUCCCUAGCUGGGCUGGGAGGAUGAUCAGCAACACUGGGACUGGGACACGGCCCGGACUCCUAGGGAGGCAGCAGAGGGGAAUAUUGCACAAUGGGGGAAAGCCGGAUGCAGCAAUGCCGCGUGUAUGAAGAAGGCCCUAGGGUUGUAAAGUACGUUCAGUCGGGAGGCGUUACCGACAGAAGAAGCACCGGCUAACUCCGUGCCAGCAGCCGCGGUAAUAC
rnacentral:rRNA from 1 species